CUAGUAGCUGGUUCCCUCCGAAGUUUCCCUCAGGAUAGCUGGAGCCCGGUGGCAGUUUUAUCAGGUAAAGCGAAUGAUUAGAGGUCUUGGGGCUGAAACGGCCUCAACCUAUUCUCAAACUUUAAAUGGGUAAGAAGCCUGGCUUGCUCGGUUGAAGUCGGGCGCAGAAUGCCGGGGCUCCCAGUGGGCCAUUUUUGGUAAGCAGAACUGGCGAUGUGGGAUGAACCGAAAGUCGGGUUAAGGUGCCGGAAUCGACGCUCAUCAGAUCCCAUGAAAGGUGUUGGUUGAUACAGACAGCAGGACGGUGGCCAUGGAAGUCGGAACCCGCUAAGGAGUGUGUAACAACUCACCUGCCGAAUCAACUAGCCCUGAAAAUGGAUGGCGCUCAAGUGUCGUACCCACACCCGACCGUCGGGUCGAGCCGCGUGACCCGACGUGUAGGAGGGCGCGGCGGUGGCCGUGCAGCCUCUGGCGCGAGCCUGGGUGAAGCCGCCGCCGGUGCAGAUCUUGGUGGCAGUAGCAAAUAUUCAAACGAGAACUUUGAAGACUGAAGUGGAGAAGGGUUCCAUGUGAACAGCAGUUGGACAUGGGUUAGUCGAUCCUAAGGGAAGGGAGAGGUCCCUCUGGAAGGCGCAAUCGCUCCGGCGACCGCGCCGUUCCCCGAAAGGGAAUCGGGUUAACAUUCCCGAACCGGGAUGCGGAUUGGGCCUCCGUGCCCGCGGCGGCGACGCAAGCGAACUCGGAGACGUCGGCGGGAGCCCCGGGAAGGGUUCUCUUUCUUCU
rnacentral:rRNA from 1 species